UACGUAGGGUGCGAGCGUUUGUCCGGAAUUAUUGGGCGUAAAGGGCUCGUAGGCGGUUUGUCGCGUCGGGAGUGAAAACCUUGGGCUUAACUCAGGGCUUGCUUUCGAUACGGGCAGACUAGAGGUAUGCAGGGGAGAACGGAAUUCCUGGUGUAGCGGUGAAAUGCGCAGAUAUCAGGAGGAACACCGGUGGCGAAGGCGGGUCUCUGGGCCGAUACUGACGCUGAGGAGCGAAAGCGUGGGGAGCAAACAGG
rnacentral:rRNA from 1 species